rfam:Triticum aestivum genome assembly, contig: Triticum_aestivum_CS42_TGACv1_scaffold_344129_4DL
GUAAUAUUCCCUCCGUUUGGAAUUACUUGUGAUAGAAAUGAAUAAAAAUGGAUGUAUCUAAAACUAUAAUACGUUUAGACACAUCUAUCUCUCCGACAAGUAAUUCCAGACGGAGGGAGUACUAG